CGUGGGUAACCGUACCUAUAAGACUGGGAGUAACUUCGGGAAACCGGGAAGCUAUACCUGAUAAUAUUUCGAACCGCAUGGUUCGAUAGUGAAAGAUGGUUUUGCUAUCACUUAUAGAUGGACCUGCGCCGUAUUAGCUAGUUGGUAAGGUAACGGCUUACCAAGGCGACGAUACGUAGCCGACCUGAGAGGGUGAUCGGCCACACUGGAACUGAGACACGGUCCAGACUCCUACGGGAGGCAGCAGGA
rnacentral:rRNA from 1 species